rnacentral:rRNA from 1 species
AAUCCCUACGGGGGAAAGGAGGGGAUCACUUGUGACCUUCCGCUAUUAGAUGAGCCUGCGUGAGAUUAGCUAGUUGGUAGGGUAAAGGCCUACCAAGGCGACGAUCUCUAGCUGGUCUGAGAGGAUGAUCAGCCACACUGGGACUGAGACACGGCCCAGACUCCUACGGGAGGCAGCAGUGGGGAAUAUUGGACAAUGGGCGCAAGCCUGAUCCAGCCAUACCGCGUGUGUGAAGAAGGCCUUAGGGUUGUAAAGCACUUUCAGAAGGGAGGAAAGGUUUAUGGUUAAUACCCGUAAGCUGUGACGUUACCUUCAGAAGAAGCACCGGCUAACUCUGUGCCAGCAGCCGCGGUAAUACAGAGGGUGCGAGCGUUAAUCGGAAUUACUGGGCGUAAAGCGCGCGUAGGUGGUUUGUUAAGUCGGAUGUGAAACCCCAGGGCUCAACCUUGGAAUGGCACCCGAUACUGGCAGGCUAGAGUACGAUAGAGGAGUGUGGAAUUUCCUGUGUAGCGGUGAAAUGCGUAGAUAUAGGAAGGAACAUCAGUGGCG